AUUGAACGCUGGCGGCAGGCCUAACACAUGCAAGUCGAACGAGUGGCAGACGGGUGAGUUAUGUCUGGGAAACCGCCCGAUGGAGGGGGAUAACUACUGGACACUGUCGAUUAUACCGCAUACCAUCGGAUGUCACCAGAUGGGAUUAGCUAGGGGGAGGGGUAAGGGCUCACCUAGGACACGAUCCCUAGCUGGUCUGAGAGGAUGAACAGCCACACUGGAACUGAGACACGGGCCAGACUCCUACGGGAGGCAGCAGUGGGGAAUAUUGCACAAUGGGCGCAAGCCUGAUGCAGCCAUGCCGCGUGUAUGAAGAAGGCCUUCGGGUUGUAAAGUACUUUCAGCGAGGAGGCGUUACUCGCAGAAGAAGCAUCGGCUAACUCCGUGCCAGCAGCCGCGGUAAUAC
rnacentral:rRNA from 1 species